rnacentral:rRNA from 1 species
CGUCUGUCAAUACAUAAACUCCAAUUAAAUAAAUCUGAAUGUAAUCUGAUGUAACACAUCUAUAAACUAAGUUUCAACAACGGAUCUCUUGGCUCUCGCAUCGAUGAAGAACGCAGCGAAAUGCGAUAAGUAAUGUGAAUUGCAGAAUUCAGUGAAUCAUCGAAUCUUUGAACGCACCUUGCGCUCCUUGGUAUUCCUCGGAGCAUGCCUGUUUGAGUAUCAUGAAAUUAUCAAAAUAAAUCUUUUGUUCACUCGAUCGAUUUUAUUUUGGACUUGGGGGUCUGCAGAUUCACGUCUGCUCCCCUUGAAUGCAUUAGCUGGAUCACUGUAGACUCGGUUCCACUCGGCGUGAUAAGUAUCACUCGCUGAGGACACUUUUGUAAAAGAAGUGGCCGGGACUAUCAGAGAACCGCUUCCAAUAGUCCAUUUGCUUGGACAAUUACAUUUAUGAUCUGAUCUCAAAUCAGGUAGGACUACCCGCUGAACUUAAGCAUAUCAAUAAGCGGAGGAAAAGAAACUAACAAGGAUUCCCCUAGUAACGGCGAGUGAAGCGGGAAGAGCUCAAAUUUAAAAUCUGGCGGUUACACCGUCCGAGUUGUAGUCUA